UACGUAGGGUGCAAGCGUUAAUCGGAAUUACUGGGCGUAAAGCGUGCGCAGGCGGCUUUGCAAGACAGAUGUGAAAUCCCCGGGCUCAACCUGGGAACUGCAUUUGUGACUGCAUGGCUGGAGUGCGGCAGAGGGGGAUGGAAUUCCGCGUGUAGCAGUGAAAUGCGUAGAUAUGCGGAGGAACACCGAUGGCGAAGGCAAUCCCCUGAGCCUGCACUGACGCUCAUGCACGAAAGCGUGGGGAGCAAACAGG
rnacentral:rRNA from 1 species